AACGAACGCUGGCGGCAGGUCUUAGGCAUGCAAGUCGAACGGGUGUAGCAAUACAUCAGUGGCGCACGAGUGAGUAACGCGUGGGAAUUUGCCCAUCGGUGGGGAAUAACGUUUGGAAACGAACGCUAAUACCGCAUACGUCGAGAAAUCGAGAAAGAUUUAUCGCCGAUGGAUAAGCCCGCGUUGGAUUAGCUUGUUGGUAGGGUAAUGGCCUACCAAGGCGAUGAUCCAUAGCUGGUCUGAGAGGACGAUCAGCCACGCUGGGACUGAGACACGGCCCAGACUCCUACGGGAGGCAGCAGCUAAGAAUAUUGGACGAUGGAGGAAACUCUGAUCCAGCAAUGCCGCGUGUGUGAAGAAGGCCUUCGGGUUGUAAAGCACUUGUGUCCGGGAAGAAAAGGUUUUGGCUAAUAUCCAGAGCUGAUGACGGUACCGGAAGAAUAAGCACCGGCUAACUACGUGCCAGCCGCCGCGGUAA
rnacentral:rRNA from 1 species